rnacentral:rRNA from 1 species
GUAGGUGGCAAGCGUUGUCCGGAAUUAUUGGGGCGUAAAGCGCGCGCAGGCGGUUCUUUAAGUCUGAUGUGAAAGCCCACGGGCUCAACCGUGGAGGGUCAUUGGAAACUGGAGAACUUGAGUACAGAAGAGGAAAGCGGAAUUCCACGUGUAGCGGUGAAAUGCGUAGAGAUGUGGAGGAACACCAGUGGCGAAGGCGGCUUUCUGGUCUGUAACUGACGCUGAGGCGCGAAAGCGUGGGGAGCAAACAGGAUUAGAUACCCUGGUAGUCCACGCCGUAAACGAUGAGUGCUAAGUGUUAGGGGGGUUUCCGCCCCUUAGUGCUGCAGCUAACGCAUUAAGCACUCCGCCUGGGGAGUACGGCCGCAAGGCUG